rfam:Tauraco erythrolophus contig92982, whole genome shotgun sequence.
AUUGGCUGUUACAUGCAGCUAAUGAACUCCAAAAAGAAUGAAACCAUUUAGGUCCUGUAGUACUGACCUGUAAGUGU